rnacentral:rRNA from 1 species
UACAGAGGUGGCAAGCGUUGUUCGGAAUUACUGGGCGUAAAGGGCGCGUAGGCGGUUCGUUAAGUCCUGUGUGAAAUCCCCCGGCUCAACUGGGGAACUGCACAGGAAACUAGCGGGCUUGAGUUCGGGAGAGGGAAGCGGAAUUCCGGGUGUAGCGGUGAAAUGCGUAGAUAUCCGGAGGAACACCGGUGGCGAAGGCGGC